CCUACGGGAGGCAGCAGUGGGGAAUAUUGCACAAUGGGGGAAACCCUGAUGCAGCGACGCCGCGUGAGUGAAGAAGCGCCUCGGCGCGUAAAGCUCUGUCAGCAGGAACGACGAUGACGGUACCUGAAGAAGAAGCUACGGCUAACUACGGUCCAGCAGCCGCGGUACUACGUAGGGGGCCAGCGUUAUCCGGAUUUACUGGGUGUAAGGGGAGCGUAGAUGGCGGGGCAAGUCAGGAGUGAAAGGCCGGGGCCCAACCCGGGGACCGCACUGGAAACUGGCAGGCUGGAGUGCGGGAGAGGUAGGCGGAAUUCGUGGUGUAGCGGUGAAAUGCGUAGAUAUUAGGAGGAACACCGGCGGCGAAGGCGGCUUACUGGACCGUGACUGACGUUGAGGCUCGAAAGCGUGGGGAGCAAACAGGAUUAGAUACCCCUGUAGUC
rnacentral:rRNA from 1 species